AACGAACGCUGGCGGCAGGCCUAACACAUGCAAGUCGAACGCCCUAGCAAUAGGGAGUGGCAGACGGGUGAGUAACGCGUGGGAACGUGCCUUUCGGUUCGGAAUAACUCAGGGAAACUUGAGCUAAUACCGGAUACGCCCUUCGGGGGAAAGAUUUAUUGCCGAAAGAUCGGCCCGCGUCCGAUGAGCUAGUUGGUGAGGUAAAGGCUCACCAAGGCGACGAUCGGUAGCUGGGCUGAGAGGAUGAUCAGCCACACUGGGACUGAGACACGGCACAGACUCCGACGGGAGGCAGCAGUGGGGAAUAUUGGACAAUGGGCGCAAGCCUGAUCCAGCCAUGCCGCGUGAGUGAUGAAGGCCCUAGGGGUUGUAAAGCUCUUUCGCCAGGGACGAUAAUGACGGUACCUGGAUAAGAAGCCUCGGCUAACUUCGUGCCAGCCGCCGCCGUAA
rnacentral:rRNA from 1 species